rnacentral:rRNA from 1 species
AGCGAACGCUGGCGGCAGGCCUAACACAUGCAAGUCGAACGAACCUUUCGGGGUUAGUGGCGGACGGGUGAGUAACACGUGGGAACGUGCCUUUAGGUUCGGAAUAACUCAGGGAAACUUGUGCUAAUACCGAAUGUGCCCUUCGGGGGAAAGAUUUAUCGCCUUUAUAGCGGCCCGCGUCUGAUUAGCUAGUUGGUUGAGGUAAUGGCUCACCAAGGCGACGAUCAGUAGCUGGUCUGAGAGGAUGAUCAGCCACAUUGGGACUGAGACACGGCCCAAACUCCUACGGGAAGCAGCAGUGGGGAAUCUUGCGCAAUGGGCGAAAGCCUGACGCAGCCAUGCCGCGUGAAUGAUGAAGGUCUUAGGAUUGUAAAAUUCUUUCACCGGGGACGAUAAUGACGGUACCCGGAGAAGAAGCCCCGGCUAACUUCGUG